AUGUCAAUAACAGCAAGGGGAACUGAAUGGCGCAUGCUCGACUGCGUUGCAUCUGGGUUGCGUCUGGGUGUCGGGGGUAGAAGCUUCUCGACGAGAAUUGGACCAGCAAGGGUUAUUACGAAUCGAGACACCAAUGUGACAAGUGCUAACAAGUUCCAAAAGUGGAAAGAUCUAGAAGGAACAUCUAAAAGGAAAGAUGGGUUUAUAAACGGAACUACGAAGCUGAGAAAUAUUUAAAAAUUUGAAAUUCACUUGUCGUUGAGAAUCGCCUGAUGUUCUACUUUUCAUGGUCUUGGCAAGAUAAAUCAUAUUUGAAAUAUUAUACCAACGUUUAAUACCCAGACGCAACGACUUAUUUUCUUAGACUUUCAAAUUCUUCAUACGCCAUGCUAUAGAGAAUUGCAUAAUUCUAUAUACGUAUCCACGACUGUGUUAACGGUGUCUUACACGAUCGCGCCGAUGGGAGAAACUAUUAAAAGUUUUCAUAACAACUAAAACACGGAAUUAACACGGAGUAAAAACCUAACACGAAGUAAAAUUGUCUGAUGGAGCACUAAAACUAUCUUUCCUCGACUACCGUGAGCGUCCUUGAUUGAUCCACAUGGUAAAGAAUAAUGUUUUAUUUUCAAUGAAAGCAAUUUUCAAGGAAAGAAAUGAAGUUAAUAUUUCGUUAAAUGUCUUGGGCGUAACGCGAUGACCACGAUGCUCACGUUGUUUAAACACAUAUGUAAUAUAAGCAAGAACGAGCAUGGAUUCCUGGCAAUACCACGGCACCAGGAUUAAGUACAAGUAAAUGCGCAAUUAUAUCUAAAAUUAUAUCCAAAUCAUUACGUUUUAUCAUUUAAUGACGGGAAUGUAUCUAUAUAAGUGAAUUUACAUUUGUAUCUUCAUCUUUUAUUUCUAUUUAUCUUUAUACUCUUGAAUGUGUAAAUCAGAUUAAUUAACCCUACGUUAUAGACACGCAUACACGUACAUACAUAUAUAUACAUACAUAUGUAGAUAUACACAUACAGAAAAUAUGUUGAUAUGUUUUAACGAUUACGAAUGUUUAAACGGAAAACCUCUCUAUAUGUAGGAUGUAUAUAGGAUUAAUAGAUGUAUAUAUGUAUAAGUAUAUAAGUGUGUAUAUGUGUGUAUAAUCAUAAAAAUACAUAUAUACACGUGUGCGUGUGUACGUAUUAAUAUUGAUGUAUAACUAUAAUUUGCCUGUAUCCAUCUGUACACACGUAAAUAUUUAGCAAAAAGUUUAAAUUAACCGCUUGCAUUCGGCGCCCGCUCGAACGUUUGGAUUUACUCAUAUUUGAUUUAGACGAAUUUGCAAACGUUGCAGAACAUAUUCUUUUGCAAACAAAUCAAUAUUUUGUUUCUUAUAAUUUUCUCGGUAGUACGAUAAGUUUUGAAGGAAUUCGAUUACGCCAGUUUCAUUGAUAUCGUUAUUUGUAAGAAUUGCUCGUUUUCUGAUCGCUCUGUGCGGACGUCUGGGUGCGAAGGGAUAAAGAAAGAUUAAAAAAUAAAUUAAAAUAAAAAGAAAUGGAAGAAAAGUUAGAAUCGAAAAAAAGAUUAAAAUUUAAAAAUGGAAAAAAGAUGGAAAAAGAAUUGGAAUAAUAAAAAAAGAAAAAUAAGAAAAGAGGAUUAAAAUGGAGAAAAAAUUCAAGAAAAAAGAAAAUGAAGAAGAAAAAAAAGGAAGAAAAAGAUAACAUACAAACAAAUGCUUUCGGGAAAUUGUACCGAUAUAUUUCAUAUUUAUUUGGAGUGAUAUCUGUGUCUAAUCUCUGUGAGUCGAUGUGAUAGCGACGUCGCAGGUGUAAACUCAACUUUUAGCCGAAUAUUUGCUAUUUCUUUAAUUAUUCACAAUAUUUGAAUGUUUUUAAUCGGCUGUAAGAUUUGAUCUUAAUUUCAUUAGCUUGAUUAAAAAACUUUAUUGAGAGUGCGAAUUAACCGAAUAUUUCAGGUUAAUUUUCUAUACAGUUCGACGGCACAAAAAUAUAGAUUCGAAUAAAUUUGUUAGAAGAAAGUUUGUUAAAAGUUCGAGUAAACUUUAUUAAAUCAUAUAUUGAAAUACACAUUACUAAAUUAAUAUUUAAUCAGAUAGAGUUGAUUACGUGUAAGAUAAUUUUUAUAUGAUAUAACAAUCAUGUUAGUAAUGUUAAUCAUUCGUUAAACGUGAUACAUUUAAUUACAUCAUUGUAAUAAAUAGAAUUAAUUUUCAUAAAAGAGUGAUAUUAAUUAUCGACAUUACUGAUUAAGAUAUUAAGUCAGGGAAAAAAGUUUCUUUUUAUUUUCCUAUUUUACAUUUUAAUGCAAAAGCGGUUACGAUUUACGAUUGUUUAGAGUAGAGAUCAUAAUUAAUAGUUUGAACGGAUGGCAACGGUUGAAUCUCCCCUUCCAUAGGUCAUGAUCAAUUUCACCCAGAAUUGUGCUUGAUGAAUCCUUUCAAGAAUGCUUCAGUUCCGUUCCGUUCCGUUCCGUUCCGUUUUAGUAACGAUUCGCAAAUAAAAAUACGAUCCAUUAAACGUUUCAUUAAUUAAUCAUGCGGCACACAAACAUUGGAUUUUUAUUCUUCUUCAAUGAUUUAUAUCUGUUUUGUGUACAGUUGGUUCCUUGACAGCAUCAUUUGCAUCACUUACAUGAUACCAUCUAUAUCGGAAACGUUCGAUACAGCUUUGUGCAACGUCCAUUAAUAACGGAUUGGUCAAUAAAUGUCAGAAAUUUCUUUAAGAACCGGAGUGGCAUCAUUAUCUCUCUUGUAAUAAAAUAUUCAAAUGUAUCUUCUUCGUUCUCUCUCAUUUUCAAGGCGUAAUAUCUUUUGAACAAAUAAACGAAUGUAUUCGUGACCUUGCUCGAAAUACUUGAUGGAAGCUCGCCUUUCGAUAAUCGCGCGGCACUAUUGCCAAAUUAAUUGUUUAACAUUAACAAAAUUAUAUCGGAUGUCAUUAUUCAUUAGCCGGUAGAAUGCUAGGAAACAUUUCUCCCCGAAUUAAUUAAAUUUGAAUAAGGAAUGUGACGCAAAAGGGUAGAAGAACUAGGUUUCAACAAUUAUUGUCAGUUAUAAUCUUACGUAACUGGGAUGGUUGCUUUUGUACUGAUUUCUACUAUUAAUUUUAUUAUUGUUUUUUCUCGCGACUAUUAUUUAUGUAUAUAAUUUAAGAUUAGAAACUAGUGCGGUUUAAUGAUGAUAUUGUCAUCUGCCGACAAGUUGAAAGAUAUGGAAGAUAAGUGUAACUCCGGGGAAUCGCACGGUGGAAAAACCAAGGAACCCGACUUUCUUUUAACAAGCAACACUUACAAAUCUAUUAAAGAAGACAGUUAUUAAACAAGGAAGAAAAAGAAGCUAUAGGGGAAGCGUAUAUACGCACCGAGAGAAUAAAAAAAUGAUGAUGCUGUGACAGAUGAAUAUCUAGAAAGUAGAGCGUCUUUUGUAGGACCAAGUCUUUCUGUAACGAUUAGAGUAUCUAAGCCUCCAAAAAUUAUCGAUGUUGCCGACGGUUUGACAAACUUGGUUCUUCAAAAACGACUAGUCUACCCUAUGCAGGAUUUACAUGUCAAUCUAUAAUCCUACUGGAAACACCGUCCGAUUUACGAAGAGAUACGACAAGACUUGCCACAGCCAAAGGUGCAUCAAUCGCUUGUGUAGAUGCCUCUCACAAGAGAAAGACUGGUCAUUUUGGUCAAUCAAGGACCAAUGGGCCAGAUUUUCUUUCACCAAACACUUUCCUAUGUAUUAAAGAAAGAUAGUUUUUAUUUCACAUCGUAUGCUUUAUAUAUCUAUAACCUUUAUCAAUUUCUUUUUAUUAUAGAAGUAAAAGUUACUUCUGUGAGAGAAUUACAAAGCUUCCUAAUUUCUGUUAUUAUAUUUUAUUACAGACAGUUCUUGAUCGAAAAGAAAAAGAGUUUAUACGCGAAGCGCGUGGCGUACCGGAAGUGUAAAGAAAUUGUGAGGCUGCGACAGAUGAAUGUCAAGAAAGUUGAUCGUCUUUUGUAGGACCAAGUCUUUCUGUAACAAUUGGAGCACUUAAGCUUGCAAAAAUUAUCGAUAUGUUUCUUUCGAAUUUAUUUGUAUUUUAAACUAUGCAUUAAAUUUUGGAAAUCUAAUAUACCUAUGUUACUUGUUUGGUGUUGCCGGAGGUUUGACAAACUUGCUUUUUCAAAAGUGACGAACACAAUCAACCACUUGUAUGGCAAUGGUGUAAUGUAUAUUCGCAAUUGAAUUAUUUCAGGAUUUACAAAAAGAAACGGCAAGACUUGCCAAAGAUGCAUCAACUCCUGUAGUGAUAUCGAUGCUUCUCAGAAAGGUACGAAUGAUAAUAUUGAUAUAAUAUUGAAUAAAGAACCAGGGGAACAAUUAUUAGAAAUGUUUCAACUAUUAGAGAAAGAUAUAUAAAAGCUAUAAAAGCAACUCUACUUUCUAGAUAUUAAUUAUUUCAGAUUCUCCUUUUUUUUUUUAUUCCUCUGGCACAUCACGCGUUUCGCAUAUAGCUUCUUUUCUUCUACGCAUAAUAACUCCGCUAGUGAGCAUAUAUAAUGACAAAAUGAAAUAGAUGAUAACCUUGAAUUGUAUGCACGAGGAAUAGUCCCGCGUAGACACAGUAAUAACCGUAAGAGUAGAGUAGUCGGUGGAAAAGCAACGAUGUCAGAUACGCAUAAUUGUAAUUUAAAAAAAUGGGUGAAACCUAAUUGUCAUUCCAUUUUAUAUGUCCCUACCUUAUUUAGGUCGAGUUAAUUCGGGAAAAAUGUUUCUUCGUAUUCCUAUAUUGGCUGAUGACAUUAUUCCGGGUUCAUAACUUUAGUAAUGUCCAACAAUCAAUUUUUAUCAAGCGCUUUAUCAAGCGGUUAUCAAGCGCCGCGCGUUUGAAAGUUGAGUUUUUGUGGAAUAUUUUUCGAGAGGUUUUUUCGAAUUCGUGUAUUUGUUUAAAAGUUAUCACGCCUUAUAAGUGAGAUAGAACAAAGAAGAUGUAUUUUGAAAUUUUAUUACGAGGAAAAGAAUAAUGCCAAUCCAACUCUUGAAAAAAUUUAGAAUCGAUGCGUUAUAAAUGGACAUCGCACAUGGUUACAUCAAACGUUUCCAAUACGGAAGAUAUGAUGUAGUGGUGCAAGACAUAGACUAGGAACCAACCAUCGGUCACAAAACAGUUCUACAUCAUUUGAAGAAUGCUGGAUAUAUAAAGAUAUCCAAUGUUCAUGUUCCAUAUGAUCAAAUAGUGAAGCGUUUAAUGGAUUUCUGUCUGCGAAUCGUUAUUAGGACCUAACGAAACCGAUGCACUCUUGAAACGGGCCAUUAUGUACGAUAAUCUAUGAAAAGGAUCAUGAUCCAUGGAAGGAGAAUCAACCGUUGUCGCGCCGUUCAAACUAUUGAUCAUAAUCUCUUCUCCAAACAAUCGCAAAAUGAUUUGCUUUUGCAUUGAAAUACGAAGAAACCUUUUCCUCUAACUUAAUAUCUUGAUUAGUAAUGUCAUUGGUUGAUAUCAUUCCUUUAUGGAAAUUAAUUCGAAUUAUUUCAGUAAUAUAGUCAAAGGUAUUUAUCUUGCUUAACAAUGUGAAUGAAUGACAUUACUGAUAGGAUCAUUAUAUUACAUAUAGAUUAUCAUACACGUAAUUAAUUAUAUCUAAUUAAAUGUUAUAAUAAUAAUAAAUAUAUUUCAAUAAACGAUUUAUCGAUAUUCUGUGUAGCAAAACUGAUUAGAGAAUUAACCUGAGGUAUCAGGUUAAUUCGAGCUUUUAAUCAAGAUUUUUGAGUCAAUGAAAUUAAGAUCAAAAUCUGUGGCAGAUUGAAAAUAUUCAAAUGUCGUAGAUAAUUGAAGGAAUAGCAAAUAUCGACUAACAUUUCAGUUUGCAGUUAUAACACCGACAUCGCGUAGAUUUACGCCCGUUACAGACAGAUAUCACUCACUCGGAAUAAAUAUGAAAUGGAUCGUUACAAUUUCCCAAUGCAUGUUUAUUUGUUUUUUCCUUCUUUGUCUUUUUUCUCCCUUUAAUCUCUUUCUUUUAAUUCCUUUUCUGUUUUCCUUUGUUCUGAUUUUAAUUUUUUUUUUAAUUUUCUUUUCCUCUUUUAGAUUUUAAUCUUUCUUUUGAUUCUAAUUUAUUUUGUAAUCUUUUUCGUUUUUUUCUUUUUGGUAGUAAUUUCUUUUUCUUCUUUUUCAAUUCUAACUUUUCUUUCUUUUCUUUUUAUUUUAAUUUAUUUUUUAAUUUUUCUUUAACCCUUCGCACUCGGAUGUUCCCCCAGAACGAUCAGAAAACGAGGAAUUUUUAUAAAUAACGAUAUCAAUGUAAAUGAUAUAAACAAAUUCCUUCAAAACUUAUCGUAUUAUCGAGAAUAUUAUAAGGAACAAAAUACUGAUUUUUUUGCACAAGUAUAUGUUCUACAACGUUUGCAAAUUCGUCUAAAUUAAAUAUGAGUAAAUCAUUCGAAACUCCGAACGUCCGAGUGAGCGCCGAAUGCAAAGGGUUAAUUUAAACUUUUUGCUAAAUAUUUACAUCUGUAUUAUAGACGUUAUGGGUACAGGUCCGUUAUAGUUAUUCAUUAAUAUUAAUACAUACAAACAUAUACAACUACAUGUACAUAUGUAUGACCAUCCAAUGUAGCCAAACUUUAUAAUGUCGAAACUAAAGGUGCUAAUUUUGUUUCUGACGUAUCCACUUAUAUGUGAGUACUUACACGUAAUUUAAAAAAUGUUUUAAACCAAACUCCUUCAGCAUGUGAGUAAGGGUCGAAGUGAAACAAAAAUAAAAUGAAAGAAGAAAACGAAUACGAGAAAGUAUACGGAAAUAGUAUGAGAAUAAGUGAGAUGGAUCGUUAACUUCACUUAUUUCAUUACGUUUUCGUUCUUCCAGUUCAUAGAAGAAAAAGGAAGAGCGAAAGAGAUACAGCAGAGUAUAGAGACAAUCAAAAUUAAUAGUAUUCAAUAAAUGUUUUCAUUAGUAUUUGUAGUUAAAUAUCAGUACGUGGUAUAAAUGGUUAAUAUAUAAUAAAUAGUAAAAUGUCGUGUCAGUGUUGCGUCAGGAUUUAUUGUAAAUUCUCAUCUACCUUUUUAGAAUAAUAAUAAAUUAUUACGCCCACAAUUGUUUCAAUUAAAAUUCUUAUAGUUUUUGUAUCAAUCGGUUUAAUACCUACCACUUAUACCACGUAUUGAUAAUUCAUUAUUAAUGAUGACCAUUAAUUUAUUUAAAUUACCGAUUAAAAAUGUUGAAAAAUAUUCAUCUAAUAAUUAGAAACUUUAAUUAAAAUAGAAAUAGAACUUUACUUUUGUCGUGUGAUAUCGUGUGAUACGCACGAUCAGGUUUAUUUUCUUUUUUGUGAAAGGAAUGAACGUCUUUUGAUUUUUUAAUUACCUACCUCCUGCUCUAGAAGUAUCACAUAUUUCGUUUGAAUCGUAAUCGAUACAAUAUCAUGAAUUCUUUUGAUAUCAAUAUUUAACGUGAAACCGUAAAGUACUGAUACAAGCGACGAUUAAUUCCAUAAAUGCUUGUAGGUGUCGUUAUCUGAUUGUUUGCGUCUUUGAACUUAUGCGUAAAGAAAGCAGUGCUUUUGUAUAAAAACAAUUUUGCAAAUAUGGAGAGAAAAGGAAUAGAAAGCUUCUUGCGGAAAGGACGAUAUUUUAAAAUCUUGUUUAAUCCCUUCGAUCAUUUCGAGACUAUACGAAUUUGUAGAUAUUAGAGUUUAGUCGUUCAGUAAAUCCUCCGACCAACUUAAAACGUCAUACGUCGAGUUUGUGAUGUAUCAGACGAUUCGUAGGACACGUAGGAUACGAGGUAAUUCGCGCUUUAUCAAUGGUUAAGCUAACUCGAAAUGAUUUUCCGCGUAACAAAAGAAAAAAUCUUUUGCGUUUGAUUUCUGAAGAAAGGAAGAUAAGGCUACGCCACGCGGAGAUGACAUAUCGUUUGAAAAAAACAAACGAACGAAUACGUAUCAGGAAAUUCUACCGACCUGGUUUGUAUUCAUUCUCAGUGAUAUCUGCGUGUGAUGUCCGUAAAUCUAUGUGAUGGUGUUACAAGUGUAAACUGAAAUUAUAGUUGACAUUUCCCAUUCCUUCAAUUCACAACAUUUGAAUAUUUUUAGUGCGCCACAGGAUUUCAAAUUAAUUUCGUUAACUUAAAAAUCUUGAUUAAAAGUACGAAUUAACCUGAUACCUCAGGUUAAUUCUCCAUUCAGUAUUAAGACACAUAAAUAUACAUUCCAGGCAAAUUUAUUAAAAGUUCGACUAAAAUUUUGUGUAAAAUUUAUUAUAUCGAAUAUUGAAAUAUAUUUAUUAUUGUAUUCUUUAAUUGCUAAUAGUUAAUUGCGUAUAACUCAAUUUUUAGAUAAUAUAAUAAUCAUAUCAGUAAUGUCAUUCACUCGUUAAACGAUAUACUUUACUGGCUACAUUAUCGCAAUAAUUCGAGUCAAUUUCCGUAAAAGAUUGAUAUUAAUCAAUGACAUUACUAAUCGAGAUGUUAAGUUAGGGGAAAAGGUUUCUUCGUAUUUCAAUGCAAAAGCGAAUCAUUGUCCGAUUGUAUAGAGUAGAGAUUAUGAUCAAUAGUUGGAACGGGUGGCAACGAUCGAUUCUGGUUCCAUCGAUCAUGAUACUUUCCGUACAUUAUUGAACAUAAUUGGCGGUUUCAAGGAUGCUUUGGUUUCGUCAGGUGUUGGUAAUGAUUCGCUGACAGAGAUACGAUCCAUUAAAUGCUUCACGAUUUAAUCACGCGAAACACAAACAUUGGAUCGUUUUUAUAUCCAACCUUCUUCAAACGAUAUAAAACUGUUUUGUGAUCGAUGGUUAGUUCCUUGUCGACAUCAGUCGCACCACUUACAUCAUACCUUCCAU